AUUGAACGCUGGCGGCAGGCCUAACACAUGCAAGUCGAGCGGAUGAAGGGAGCUUGCUCCUGGAUUCAGCGGCGGACGGGUGAGUAAUGCCUAGGAAUCUGCCUGGUAUUGGGGGAUAACGUCCGUAAACGGGCGCUAAUACCGCAUACGUCCUGAUGUUGAAAGUGGGGGUUCUUCGGACCUCACGCUAUCUGAUGAGCCUAGGUCGGAUUAGCUAGUUGGUGUGGUAAAGGCCUACCAAGGCGACGAUCCGUAACUGGUCUGAGAGGAUGAUCAGUCACACUGGAACUGAGACACGGUCCAGACUCCUACGGGAGGCAGCAGUGGGGAAUAUUGGACAAUGGGCGAAAGCCUGAUCCAGCCAUGCCGCGUGUGUGAAGAAGGUCUUCGGAUUGUAAAGCACUUUAAGUUGGGAGGAAGGGAAGUAAGUUAAUACCUUGAUGUUUUGACGUUACCAAAAGAAUAAGCACCGGCUAACUUCGUG
rnacentral:rRNA from 1 species